rnacentral:rRNA from 1 species
GACGAACGCUGGCGGCGUGCUUAACACAUGCAAGUCGAACGGAAAGGCCUGCUUUCCCUGGUGGAUUGCGGGUACUCGAGUGGCGAAGGGGGGAGUAAAACGUGAGUGAUCUGCCCCCAACUUGGGUAAAAGCCUGGGAAACUGGGUCUAAUUCCCGAUAGGACUGCAGGGUGGUGCCGGUGGUGGAAAACGAUUUUCUAGUGGUUGGGGAUGAGCUCGCGGCCUAUCAGCUUGUUGGUGGGGUAAUGGCCUACCAAGGCGGCGACGGGUAGCCGGCCUGGGAGGGUGGACGGCCACAUUGGGACUGAGAUACGGCCCAGACUCCUACGGGAGGCAGCAGUGGGGAAUAUUGCACAAUGGGCGGAAGCCUGAUGCAGCGACGCCGCGUGGGGGAUGACGGCCUUCGGGUUGUAAACUCCUUUCGACCGCGAGGAAGCCACCUGGUUGGAAGGGUGGUGACGGUAGUGGUAGAAGAAGCACCGGCUAACUACGUG